CAUCGGGACCUCCCCACCCGUCAAACAAAAAAAAAGUUCCUCCCCGAUCCUUCUUUCGCUGGGCGCAACAAUCAUGGCGACAGAUCCGCGGCUGCUCCACCUCAGGUUCCCCCCAUCCUUCUUUCUCUCGGGCGACAGAUCCGUUCAUGGCGGCGGAUCCGCAGCGUCCACGGCCGCUCCACCUCGGGCAGUGCGGAUCACGGCCGGCGACCCGAUGGAGGCGUAGCGGCUACCGGCGCAGUCUGACACUCUGCCAUGCGCUCCCUCCAUGUCUCCUCCUGCGCCUCCGGUGGCCAGACGCCUCUUCCACUCCGGCCGAGAUGUUUGAAGAAGGGGCUAGAGACAAACUGUCCAAUUUGUUGUGACUUCCUAUUCACAUCAAGCAAGGAAGUUAGAGCUGUUCUUUCUGGUCACUCCAUGCAUUCAACUUGCUUGCAGGCAUACACUUGCAGUCACUACACUUGUACUAUCUACGGCAAAUCCUUCGGGGAUAUGGCGUUGUAUUGUAUGAUAAUUCUCCACGGACAAUACAAUUCUGAUUCCUGACGCCUGAGUGAGAUUUUACUUGUGGUCUUGUUAUUUAAACUCAUUCCUAAGAUGCAACAUGAAGACUGUUUUGGUAUUUGGGGAAUACACGAUUGGACAUUUUGCUCGAGUCAUAUAAUCAUAUUGAGUGACUGAAUGUAAUGCACAUAAACUUCAGUGGUAUAUUGAAAAUGGUUUCGAAACAGAUAAAUGUUGGAUCAGCUGACCCUGUCAUUAUCUCAUUCCACCCCAACACCACGGUAUAGCUUUUCUUCUUUGAUCAUCGCUGAUAUGCCAAACUGCAGGGGCACCCUCAUCAUUGGUGGAUUUUAUAUUUCUCAGGUCAAACGGUCUGCAGCCACACCUGGUCACCAUCGAGUUUCAGGUAACCACGACAAGUCAACGAUCUUCCAUUGCCUUCCGCUCAAUUUUGUUUGGAUGGUGCGUGAUUCCUUUCAUCGAGUCUUCAAUAAACCAAAGAGUUACCAGAGUAGUUAAUUAGGAGCCUAAUCAUGUGUAAACUAUUGUGCAUCAAGUCUUCAAUAAAAACAGAGCAGUUUCUACAUGCAAGACGUAUCAAAUAGUAUGCUAAUACUUGAAUACCAUGUGACUAGAUCGAUUUCCAAGCAGACUCGAUCGAAUCUAAUCGUAUAUGCUGUGUUUGUUGCGUCGAGUAGUGACGGAGAGCAAGCGAGGCGAGAGAGCGAGUCACAUCGCGCUUUUACCUGUUAUUAUAUAACGCACAUUGAUUAGUUCGGUUGUAUCUGGGCAUGCUUUUAGACUUAAAGUCGAUCUUGAUUUCCUCUUGCCACCUGUAUGAGGGCAUCCAUUCGAAACACAUAUCUAAUCUUCUACGUGUGGGAUCCUUUUUCUGUUCUUAAUUUGUUGUUGGGGCGAGCUUGUUACUCUCUACAUGGAUUUCAAGCUGGAUGAGAGCUACACGCCGAGCAAGAUCUCCAUCUGGACUGGCGACGGCUUCCACAAUCUCAAGGCCCAGAAAUUAGGAUUCAAGAUUUGCCUCAUUGAAAACCGGUCAGGAGUUCAUGUUCACAAUCAAGCAGUGACCCCUUCUACUACUUGAGGGAUUCAGCAAAGACCAUCAACGGUACAGUCAAAGUUGAACAUGAAAACAAGGCGCUCUGCCAGUGUGCGUGCAUGAUCCAAUAGCAUGUGUUUAAUAGUAGCCACUAUGAUGUGAAAUACUAGCAGCUUCCUCCAUUUAUGCCAGUAUUUGAUAUACUUACCAAAGUUUAAGGGCGCCAAUCUUAAGAAGACAUCCCGGUUUGUGCGAAAAUUUCUUACGCAUAUUAGACAAAAGAUGUAUCUAAUUUUCCUUAGGUUGCAUUGCAACACAUCAGUUUCUGCUCUUGGUUCUUUUACCAUAAAAUUUGUAAGGACCCUUAUGUUUGAUUUAUUGUAUAAAUCAUUUGAGACAUGCCCUGCAUGCAUGAUUACUCACUAUAUUUAUGUUCAUCUGAUAUUAUGUUCAUGAAUCA